GAAUUUUCCGCAAUGGGCGAAAGCCUGACGCAGCAACGCCGCGUGCGGGAUGAAGGCCCUCGGGUUGUAAACCGCUUUCAGUGGGGACGAACCAAGACGGUACCCACAGAAGAAGCCCCGGCCAACUACGUGCCAGCAGCCGCGGUAACACGUAGGGGGCAAGCGUUGUCCGGAUUUAUUGGGCGUAAAGAGCUCGUAGGUGGUUCAGUAAGUCGGGUGUGAAACCUCCAGGCUCAACCUGGAGACGCCACCCGAUACUGCUGUGACUAGAGUCCAGUAGGGGAGCAUGGAAUUCCUGGUGUAGCGGUGAAAUGCGCAGAUAUCAGGAGGAACACCAGUGGCGAAGGCGGUGCUCUGGGCUGGAACUGACACUGAGGAGCGAAAGCGUGGGGAGCGAACAGG
rnacentral:rRNA from 1 species